UGUAAACCCGAAUAGUCCAAUGAGCUCAAAAGUUUUAUAAUCACUGAACUCAAAAGUAACAAACAAGUUGAGUCAGCUUAAAACCUUUAAGCCGAUUCAACUUUUGCCACAGUUAUAUCUUUAUUGGACUAAAACAUUUUGAGUAAAUGAAACCUUGGAGUCAAAACUUAUGAGUAAUGAGACGUGAUGACGUCAUAACGUACGUCCAUGAACGUGAACUCAGCCACAGAAGUCUUCAAGAUGGCGGAGGUCUGAUGCGAGUGGCAGCUGGCCCAAGUCGAUAACGCACAUACGUCUAGUGAACCGGCGGUGCGUUUGAAAAAUAAGAGCGGAGAUGUGAGCUGAGUUUCAUCGCAUCACAAAUGUCAACCUGCGAAAACCGUUUUAUUUUGACCUGGACAGACAGACGCCACGGAUGCUGAUCUUAUUGAGACAGAAGGCAGCACGAACCGGAAGGCUCUAUGUGACUUUCUGCACCUCUAUGAUAAACAGGUGAGGUGUAACUGCAUGGCAUGAUCAACAUUAUGCAUUAGUAUAGCUAAAAUAAGGGGCUGACUUGGAUCGGUU